AUUGCGAUGGAACACGUUGAGAAUCCUGUUGAGGGUGACAAUGAAACUCCUAUAAGGAGUAAGAGACAGAGGACUGCAAAGUCCUUUGGUGAUGAUUUCAUUGUGUACCUUGUGGACGACACACCCAGGACUAUUUCAGAAGCCUGUGCAUCUCCUGAUGCUGACUACUGGAAGGAAGCUGUUCGUAGCGAGAUGGAUUCCAUCUUAGCUAACGGAACCUGGGAGAUCACUGACCGUCCUUGUGGGUGCAAACCUGUAGGGUGUAAGUGGGUGUUCAAGAAGAAGCUUAGACGUGAUGUUACGAUUGAAAAGUACAAGGCACGGCUUGUGGCUAAGGGUUAUACCCAGAAAGAAGGUGAAGACUUCUUUGAUACUUACUCACCCGUGGCUAGACUGACCACAAUUCGGGUGCUACUAUCACUGGCUGCCUCACAUGGUCUUCUCGUUCAUCAAAUGGACGUUAAGACGGCUUUCCUCAAUGGAGAGUUGAAGGAGGAAAUUUACAUGGAUCAGCCAGAUGGUUUUGUAGUACCUGGUCAAGAAGGAAAGGUGUGCAAGUUAUUAAAAUCUUUAUAUGGCCUUAAACAAGCUCCUAAGGAGUGGCAUGAGAAGUUCGAAAGAGCAUUAACUGCUGCCGGCUUUGUAGUAAAUGAUGGUGACAAGUGUGUGUACUAUCGCCAUGGUGGGGGCGAAGGAGUUAUUCUUUGUCUGUAUGUCGACGACAUAUUGAUCUUUGGAACCAAACUUGAUUUAAUCAAGGAGGUUAAAGAUUUCUUAUCUCGCUGUUUUGAGAUGAAGGAUCUAGGAGUAGCUGAUGUUAUCUUAAACAUCAAGCUGUUGAGAGAUGAGAAUGGUGGGAUCACACUGCUUCAGUCUCACUAUGUGGAAAAGGUCUUGAGUCGUUUUGGGCAUACUGACUGCACGCAUUCUCUAACUCCAUAUGAUGCUAGUGUUGCCAUGAGGCCUGACAUCUCUUUUGCUGUGAGCAAGCUGAGUCGGUUUGUGUCAAAACCGGGAGCUGAUCAUUGGCGUGCGCUUGAGAGAGUUAUGCGCUACUUGAAGGGCACUGCGAGCUAUGGGAUUCACUACACCGGGUAUCCAAGGGUACUGGAGGGUUAUAGUGACUCGAACUGGAUAUCUGAUGCUGAUGAGGUUAAGGCCACAAGUGGUUAUGUUUUUACACUUGGUGGUGACACGGCCACUGUUGAAGCAGAGUGGCUUCGUGAGCUAUUGAUGGACUUACCUAUGGUUGAAAAACUAAUACCCCCUAUCCUGAUGAACUGUGAUAAUCAAACUGUGAUCGUCAAGAUAAACAGUUUUAAGGACAAUAUGAAGUCCUCAAGGAAUGUGAAGAGGAGAUUAAAAUCUGUCAGGAAACUGAGAAACUCCGGAGUUAUUACGUUGGAUUAUAUCCAAACGUCGAAAAACUUGGCAGAUCCCUUCACAAAGGGUCUAUCACGUAAUGUGAUAGAUAAUGCAUCGAUGGAGAUGGGUUUGAGACCCACC
rnacentral:rRNA from 1 species